rnacentral:tRNA from 1 species
GGAGGAGUGGCAGAGUGGUCGAAUGCGGCGGUCUUGAAAACCGUUGAACGUCAAAAGCGUUCCGUGGGUUCGAAUCCCACCUCCUCCGCCA